UUUCAUUGGCCCCAAACGCUCCCAAGCUGUCAAUAUUUUCAUCAAGAACCUCUGAGUCUCUGACCUGUCCCAACCAAAUUAGUCCAACCACCCACCAUGGUCCAUCGUAGAGCAUGGUCUGUGACCUCAAUUCUGGCAAUAACGACCAAUCUUUGAGCGCAAACCCCACAAUGCUUUUUCCAAUUUUAUUAAAGCCUAUUGCAGCAGCAACAACACUCUACUCACUCACAGUCCACUAGCUGCUACUAGCUAGUAGCUCCUGGUUACCAAAUCUUGAUAGAAAGUUUGAAACUUUUGAAAACAACCAAAUGGGUUGCGGUAUGAGUACCACUACCCCUGAAAAGUCCUCAGCUUUAGGUCCUCAAAAGCAAUGGUCUUUGAGAAGAGAAUCAAGCAAGAAGACCCAGAAAAGAUUACCCAUUAACAAUAACAAUGGAGACAUCUAACAGGAAUCGGAGAUUUGCAGCCUGAGUCAGAGCAUGUCCACUACCACCAUGACCAGAGACGACGAUGAAGAGGUCCAUCAAAGGGUGAAUAGGUCUCCAAUGAAAUUACCAAAGAACCGGGACUCAUUAGGCCAGAGAAGAGACCGGGUUGUGGGUGGUUGCAGCAGUCCCACAUCGACUCCAACUUUUAAAGUUGAGGAAGAAUUCGGAAAUUUGGAAUCGGAAAGUUACGAAAUUAAAGAAUUUUUUCAGAAUCGGAAUCGGAAGUCUAUAUUGAAGCAGCACACACCCACACUACAGAGAAAGGCGGGGUCAUUUCUUUAUCAACCAAACCAGACGCCGUCGUCGUCAGCCAUCAGUAGCCAUGAAGGUGCGUUCCUCUGUGAAGAAGAUGUGUGAGUUUUGUAAGACAGUUAAACGUCGCGGGCGUGUUUAUGUGCUUUGCACAGCCAAUCCCAAGCAUAAGCAAAGACAGGGCAUGUCAACAUUUGCAUACGAAGGCACGGUGUCUUCCGUGUACGCAGAGACGAGUGCCAAGCUGGAGAACAGCUCUGGUCACAGCGUGCAAGCAGGUCUGGCCUCUCUGAUACCCAAAAAGCAUGAACCCUCGAUGCCCUCUAUACCCUCUACGAUACUUGGAUGGAGGGUGGGCCUGGCCUCCCUGCUGUUCAACAAGGCCAAGUAGCUUUGAAAUUUGAAAUGGGACCUUAUCUCAGUUUUUAGGUUCCUUUCUUUGGUUGUGCUGCCAGAUAUAUUCAAAAUGUUAUAAGCUCCUCUUUUUCUCUUGGAUUUUAGCUUUUAAUCUGCUACUAUAUAUAAUACUUCCAUCUCUCCCUCGCUUUCU